GUGGAGUUCGGCCCGCGCAGAGAGCGCGCGGAGGCGCUGCCCGAGCCUCUUAACUCCCUUUGCAUCGAUCCUGCCGUUAAUGACAUAACCUUCUCCCCUAAUUAACUGACAACUGCAUUAGGCGGCGCGCCUCCUCCACACGCCGCCCACAGCUUCCCCCACGCAGUUCCGCCCGCGCCGGUGCGGGGCCGGGGCGCAGCAGCUCCACCUGGACUCAACUCAGGGUGCCAACCUGUCUUCUGCCCUACUCUGCCAACAGUAGGUGCUCAGCAGGAAGAAACCAAAAGCCAACCAAAGUCUGGGAUGACCAGAAACAAAUGCCCUAACACUUCAGCUGACCAUAGCAACUGGGAGCAGGACUGACCUCUGCCCUGGGAUGUCACUAAGGGGUGAAGGGGCCAUGGAUGGCCAGGGAUAUCAAGCAUGCCAAGCCAGAAUUCUGCACACCAGCUCCCUGGGACUUCUGCCUGUUCCACAGGGCCUGGCUUGCACACCAGCAGCCCUGUAGUUGGGAAACCAUCCCUGCAGUCUGAAAGAGCUCCCUCUGACCCUGCAGCCCUUAUCCUGGCUUCUGUUGUUAUUUAGGAUAUGGGGUCUCACCUAACAUUGGACAAAUGCAACGUGGAUCAGAGAUUGUGCUCGGGAGUCAGGGAGAUUGAAGUUUCCUUCCUGGAUCAGCUGCUUGUUAGCCCUAUCACCUUGCUUGGCCUCACUAAGCCUCACUGUAAAACCGGGAAAAUAAAAUAGGAUAGUUAUGAAAAUUAAA